GUGAAUCAUCGAAUCUUUGAACGCACAUUGCGCCCCUUGGUAUUCCGAGGGGCAUGCCUGUUCGAGCGUCAUUAUAACCACUCAAGCUUUAGCUUGGUAUUGGGGUUCGCGGUCUCGCGGCCCUUAAAACCAGUGGCGGUGCCAUCUGGCUCUAAGCGUAGUAAUUCUCUCGCUACAGGGUCCCGGUGGUUGCUUGCCAAAACCCCCCAUUUCAAUGGUUGACCUCGGAUCAGGUAGGGAUACCCGCUGAACUUAAGCAUAUCAAUAAGCGGAGGA
rnacentral:misc_RNA from 1 species